GCUGCAGCGUCAUGGAGGUCUGCUACAGCUUCAUGGAGGUCUGCCACAGUGUCAUCAAAAUCUGCUGCAGAGUCAUCGAAGAUACCAGCCACACGUGAUGCUGGCUUCCGUUGCUCGUCGGACUGACGUGCAUCAAACUGGACAGUGGACAAGUGCAACACACUAUCGCUAUUGCAACCACCGACUGUGAUGCAGUGGGCAUCGGCAUCCAGCUGGGGAUCGGACACAGAGCAGAGUUGCGGACAUGCAAGCCCAGCGCACACGUGCUGCGUGGAGGAGACAAACUUCACUUUGGUUGCCCUUCAUGGAGCGUUGGAAGAACGUGCAUCGGACUGAACUGUUGGCCACUGUAAUGCACGCUAUUGCUGCUGCAAACAUCUACAGUGAUGCAGUGGACAUCAACGAUCAACCUUUAAUUUUGCAUGUGUCUGAAAAAAUAUUUUUCCUAGUGUGCUGCUUGUUGCCGCUUGUUGCCGCUUGUUGCCGCUAUCUUGGUUGUUGUGUGUGGAUCACGGUCGUCGUUAUGUCAUAGCAGUGGGCUUGUGCGCAUGUGUGUGUAUGUGUGUGUGUGCUGAGGAGAUGCUCCCCGCAUGAAACUGACAGUUGCCAGCAUGACUGCUUGUACACCAUGACCUUACAAGCACAACAUGUAUGCUUC